ACUCUACUCUAUUGGAUAAAUGGAUGGUGUCCCUCCACCCCUCUACCCCUGCACCCCUCCAUCCCACCACUGCAUUUCGGGACACAUAUAUAAAAGAAACUUAAUAAAAUAAUAUGGAUGCAGCUGUAUUUUUUACUAUACGGCAAAGUAAGUUCUGCAAAAAUUAAUUGGAUGCUACAAAUACUGAAAAGACAACGGUCCGUCAAAUUUCUGUACUUAACAUAUAAAUUAUUGGUAUGAUGUGUUUCAAGAGUAUUUGGAAUUUACACUGAGUGUUGUGUGAGAUUUAUGUUAAAUAAGAUUCACAAGUAAAUCUUAAUGAACGAAACGGGAGCAUUGAAUCCUGAAACCCCAAAAAAUCAGAAAUCGUACAAUCCUGUAAUAAUGGACUAAUAUUACUAACUAGUACAACUGAAAAUUAUAAUAUAAAAUAAAAUAUACCUUAUAAGUACUUUCGCAAUUCACAACGGAAAGGAUUUACCAUAUAUAAUACCAUUUAAUUUUGAAUUUGAAAUAUUCAAACAUCAUCAGUUUGAGUACUGUUUCAAUUAAUAAGUUUAUAUAUGUUAGAAUUAAUUGUUGCUUUUGAACUUUUAACCAUAACCAUUAUGGUAAUUCAAUCAACCAUAAUGGAUCAAUUUUGGGUGUGUGAGCCAUAAAAUAGUACUUCCUGUGAGUGUGGAAACGAUAAUAUGUGGAUGUGUAUCUGAUAUGAAUGGUGUUGUCCUUGUUCAAUAAGAAGCCUGAUAAUAAUACAUACAAAUUACAUGAAUGAAGAUUAGCAGAUCUAUUUGGACAUUUGGACAGCUUAAAGAUGACGAUGCGAAAUGACAAAUAUCUGACCAAAUCUGAAUGAAUGUUUUGGAACAAAUGUGACUAGUGAUUACAACUGGUACAAAACUGUGCUUGUAUGAUGCGGCAUCGAUUUUUGAUUUUGAUCUUUUGUGUAGUCAUCGAGCAUCACAAAAGCAUCACUGCUUUUGAAAAUACAGAGUACAUUUUUUGGUAUCACUAAUACUCAAAAUAAAAAUUUUUGAUUGAAUUACUUUAA